AGGAGCAGGAGGAGAAAUGAGUCUGUGUGGAAGAACAGAUAGAAAUACCAGCUUAUGUGAAAAAGGACAAAAAGAAUGAAGGUUGCAAAGAAAAAGAACUGAAAAAAGGUCAAAUGGCAAGAAAGUCCUGAUUCCCAGGCUCAGGGGAAGAAACAACCAAGCUCUACAAUGAAUGAGAGAAGCUUUUUUGGAUUACAAUGCAGUCCAGCAGCCAAUCUUUUCUGCCCAUUUCCUAUCAGAGACAAAUAGUUUCCCUUUGCGUGAUAAGCAAUGUAGACUACAGUAUAUUAUCACUAUUCUGUCAGCCUACCCUUCUUUUUCCUCCAUUUACUCUCAGGUGAUCCUUCUGGUCAGUGUGUUACACUUUUUCUUUCUGUCUGUCUGUCUAUCAUAGCUUCGGCUAUGGGGAGGUAUAUA